rnacentral:tRNA from 1 species
GUGGGUGUAGCUCAGGUGGUAGAGCACCGGGUUGUGGCCUCGGUUGUCGUGGGUUCAAGUCCCAUCACUCACCCCA